rnacentral:rRNA from 1 species
GAUGAACGCUGGCGGCGUGCCUAAUACAUGCAAGUCGAGCGAACAGACGAGGAGCUUGCUCCUCUGAUGUUAGCGGCGGACGGGUGAGUAACACGUGGAUAACCUACCUAUAAGACUGGGAUAACUUCGGGAAACCGGUGCUAAUACCGGAUAACAUGUUGAACCGCAUGGUUCAACAGUGAAAGACGGUCUUGCUGUCACUUAUAGAUGGAUCCGCGCCGCAUUAGCUAGUUGGUAAGGUAACGGCUUACCAAGGCAACGAUGCGUAGCCGACCUGAGAGGGUGAUCGGCCACACUGGAACUGAGACACGGUCCAGACUCCUACGGGAGGCAGCAGUAGGGAAUCUUCCGCAAUGGGCGAAAGCCUGACGGAGCAACGCCGCGUGAGUGAAGAAGGUCUUCGGAUCGUAAAACUCUGUUAUUAGGGAAGAACAAAUGUGUAAGUAACUAUGCACGUCUUGACGGUACCUAAUCAGAAAGCCACGGCUAACUACGUG